AAAACAAAUAAAGCAAAGUAACUCAUCAAUGAGUUGGCCCUCAUUCAAUGAACUUAGACCUUUUCAAAUUCCCAAAGCCAUCUUAUCUUCCCAAUUCCAUGACCAUCUUAGCAGAACAUGGAAAAACUCGAACAACACUAUCCUCUUCAGCAAAACCUUACGUCGUUCCCCUCCCAUUAUCCCAAGUACAGCAACCCAAAUACAUCUGAAUCUCCAAACCAAUAGCACAGCCUUCCCCCAAGAAACCUACCCUUUCACCAAUCCCACUCAACCUCAGUCCCCAUCCCAGCUCCCCCACCACGAAGACACCCAUCAUUCAACCGACGCCUAAAUACGAUCCUACCCCUUCCCACCCUCCAAAUUAUUCAAGAACCCACUCAAGGGACUUAGCUUAACCUUCGAUCAGAACUUUUAGGUGCUACAUUCACCAUUUCUCCUCCCAACUCCCCCGUGCCGACCAUGUCGGUCCAUUUCCACCAUGGCCCUAACAAAAUCAGGCACAUUCCCCACCAAGUAAGCACUCCCACCCCUCCUCAACCCCUCUUUUGCUACUAUAUGAGCAACUGUAUUUGCAUAUCUGGAAACAUGUCUAUAUGAACACCUGCUAAACAUCUCUACUUUAAUCUUAGCAUCAUAAAUAUAGGCCCCUAUAUCCGAACCAUCAUUUAUGCAUGAUCUCAUUUUUUUAAUCAUCGACAGAGCAUUACUUUCCAGAAUCACCUCUCGAAAUCCUAAAUCAACCCCCAAGCUCAACGCUUGAAGACAAACGAGGGCAUUGCAAACCCCGUAGGCAACAUCAUAAUUUAUUUUAAGAAAAGGAGAAUCCGGGGGCCUCCACCUCUCAUACUCAAUCUUUCCGACAGGUAACUUAUUCUGCAUUGCGUCAUUUUCAUUCAUAUCAUUCUCAACCUUUUUUUAAUACAUCCUGUGGUAGAAGAAUCACCUUGUCAUGGAUCAGCCUAUUCCUCGCAGACCAAAUAAACCAGAGGGUACAAACCACAAUUCUGCAUAUAGUACUUGGGACCAUGGAAAAAAUAUACAAGAACAAUCUCUAAAUAUAUGUUCAACAGUCUGCGCCACCUGUACAUUUUGGACACAUAGUUGAAUUUCUCAACCUCUUAUUCUAGAAAUUAUGAUAGUUAGGAAUGUAAUUUUUAAAGAUGCACCAAACUGUAAUCUUUAUUUUCUCUGGUAAAUUAAUUUACCAAAGGUUUUUGUAAAAUGCUCUGUAAUUAUAGUAAGUACCAAGCACCUCAGGUGAAAUAUCCUCGUGAAGGAAGAUAUUGUAAGCACUCUGCACUGUAAAUUCACCCGAUAGUUCAUCACCCCAAACCACCAUAUCGUCUAGUAGAUUUCUAGCAAGAGGAAUAUAUCUGACUCUCUUCGCAACCUCAUCAGUCAAAUGCGUGGUGAGUUUCUGUUCAA